CGUGGGAGCGAGCCUGCUCGCGAUAGCGGUGGGUCAGUCACCUAUCUGCAAGCUGACUAACCGCCAUCGCGAGCAGGCUCGCUCCCACA
rnacentral:misc_RNA from 1 species